CCAUGUUGAGAAGUGAGGAAUUAAUCCAGUAUGCAGUCCGGUCUGCGAAUGGCAGAGGACUCAGACUGGGAGGGUCCUAGGAGUCUCUCGUCUGCCGUUCCGGUCAGGGAAUUGUGGCGCGGCUGAAAAGAUAAGAAUUGAAUUGCUGGCAUGCUGAUCAUGUUGGAGUUCAAAGGCCUGAAAAAGCUAACAUCCCAGUUUGGAGGCAACCAGAAAGGAAAGAUUCUCUCUCACUUGGAGGAAGUACCAGGUUCGAAAGUUUAGGCAACAGCUGUGAAGAUAGUGGGAUGCAUUAUGACGCCCAUUCUGGUUGACUUUUAUCUACUUUUGAAGACCCGUAAUGACUCCAAUGUUUUGAUUUUGUUGGUAUUGUUCUUUACUGUUUUGUUCAGUUUUAUUACAACUGAUGAUAUAGGCAAUUCUAUUAGAGAUAGCAGGAGGCAUUAUAGUAACCAUUGUUGAUCACCUUGUAUUAUGCUUUUACAUUAUCUAUUAUGUCCACCCUUUUGAUUUGACUGACUCUGUUCUGUUAUGUCACAUUUGGUUCUACUCCCUUCCAAAAAAGUAAUAAGAACUGUGGGAGCAACAAACCCAAAAUGUGUAAUAGUCAUUGUACAAAAGAGAGGAAAAGAAAGUGCUCUAAGCGAUACAACUGCAUGUAUAUUUAAGUGUAUAAGAUAGAUAAUGAUAUCACUGAGUUUUGUUGGAUCAUUGAACAGAACUGUUUGCAGUCUCACUGUUGGAAUGUCUACUUUAUAAGCUUUAAUUUUGUAACUUGAACAAUUAUUUCUAAGAUGACAAUAUGUAAUCCAUUAACUAGUGAUUUCCUACUGUUUAUGUUUUUCUGUAAAUCUGUAUAACUUGUACCUUUUCUCUGCUGUUUUUGUUUUUCUCCUUA